rnacentral:piRNA from 1 species
UCCUCUUGCGUCUGUUUUGUUACUGGUU